AUUGAACGCUGGCGGCACGCCUUACACAUGCAAGUCGAACGGCAGCACGGGAGCUUGCUCCUGGUGGCGAGUGGCGAACGGGUGAGUAAUACAUCGGAACGUACCCUGAAGUGGGGGAUAACGUAGCGAAAGUUACGCUAAUACCGCAUAUUCUGUGAGCAGGAAAGAGGGGGAUCGCAAGACCUCUUGCUUUAGGAGCGGCCGAUGUCGGAUUAGCUAGUUGGUGAGGUAAAGGCUCACCAAGGCGACGAUCCGUAGCGGGUCUGAGAGGAUGAUCCGCCACACUGGGACUGAGACACGGCCCAGACUCCUACGGGAGGCAGCAGUGGGGAAUUUUGGACAAUGGGCGCAAGCCUGAUCCAGCCAUGCCGCGUGAGUGAAGAAGG
rnacentral:rRNA from 1 species